rnacentral:lncRNA from 1 species
AUCAUCGAAUCCAACGGCUCGAGAUCGUCGCGGACCCUCUCCCCUCCGCACGAGCUCCUCACGCGCGUCCCCCAAAUCCCCAAUCACGCCGCCAAUGAGAACCCCGUCACUGUCCUCCUCUUCAUCCUCGCCGCGGCCCACCGCCUCCGCCGGUUCCUCCUCCUCCGCCGCCGCCGCCGCCGCCGCGCAGUCUCGCCACCACUUCGCGCAGGGCGCCCAGCUCCUCGCCCGUGCGCGCGCCGCCGCAGGGACCAAGAAGCGGAGCCCCCCGCGCGGCGCUCGCCGAGGCCGACCGCGCCAUCGCCCGUCGACGCCGCCACCUCACCCGACCCGUGCUCCCUCCCCGUCCCCAAUCCCGACGAAUCCUCCAUCGCGCCGCCGCCGGCUUCCACCACGCCCCCCGACCAUCCCCCCUCUCCCCAAUCCCGGCAGCUCCUCCCAUCUUGCGAGUCACCGAUCGCCCAAUGCGGGUUUGUCGUUGCAGUGAUCGAACCGUCGCACCGCCGCCGGCUUCCACUGCGCCCCCCAGCCAUCUCUCCUCCUCCCCAAUCCCGGCGGUCUCCGUCACGCCGCCAUCAAGUCGUGACCGGAGAGAAAGAGAGAGCGCAAUGUGUCUUUCUGGGCCAAGCGCUUCCAGAAUUCCUCUUCCCUAGGCCCGCACACGACACGCCGGGCCACCGUUUGGCCUCUCGCCGCCGGUGA